rnacentral:rRNA from 1 species
GAUGAACGCUGGCGGCGUGCUUAACACAUGCAAGUCGAACGAAGCACUUUAUUUGAUUUCCUUCGGGACUGAUUAUUUUGUGACUGAGUGGCGGACGGGUGAGUAACGCGUGGGUAACCUGCCUUGUACAGGGGGAUAACAGUUGGAAACGGCUGCUAAUACCGCAUAAGCGCACAGCAUCGCAUGAUGCAGUGUGAAAAACUCCGGUGGUAUAAGAUGGACCCGCGUUGGAUUAGCUAGUUGGUGAGGUAACGGCCCACCAAGGCGACGAUCCAUAGCCGACCUGAGAGGGUGACCGGCCACAUUGGGACUGAGACACGGCCCAAACUCCUACGGGAGGCAGCAGUGGGGAAUACUGCACAAUGGGCGAAAGCCUGAUGCAGCGACGCCGCGUGAGCGAAGAAGUAUUUCGGUAUGUAAAGCUCUAUCAGCAGGGAAGAUAAUGACGGUACCUGACGAAGAAGCACCGGCUAAAUACGUG